GACCUCGUAGCUCAGUUGGUAGAGCAUUGGACUAGCAAACCAAAGGUUGUGGGUUCGACUCCCGCCGCAGUCC
rnacentral:tRNA from 1 species